rnacentral:lncRNA from 1 species
CACUAGAUCAUAUCCCUGUUAUUUACGCUACAACAAAGAACUGAAUUUAUCAGCAUGAGUUUGAUCUACUGUUUAACACUGUUGCUGAAUUUCAGGAAUGGAUGUAGCUGGAAACUACAGAGAAAGCUGUGCUAAACACAGCUCCAGGUGACUGCAAAAUCAGCAUGUGAACUGUGCCUUCAGUGGAAGUACUGUUCUUGGAUUCUCACCUCUAUUCCACAAGCAACUGAAAUGAACGGACCUAUAUAGAAGGCAAAUCUGAAAUAGAGACAUCACCCAUGGCCAGACCCAUUAAUUAUUUGGGUAUAUCUGUUUCUACUGGAGAAUUUGUUGUUUUGUAUGAUGAAACAUCUUGAUUCCCUAUCAGGAAGAAAGACAGAGGAAAGCAGACUAAUGAAGCAUCGAGGAGGACUUCUGAUCAGCUGAAGGGGCAAGAGGAGCAGCUGGCAGUGACCACAUUCAGUGUAGCAGUCCUAUCACCAGAGCUCAUUCCUAGAAUAACAGCCCCACCAGCAAAUAGGUAGCUGUUUUCAUACUAUUAUAGUUUUGCUUAUC